UACGUAGGUGGCAAGCGUUGUCCGGAUUUACUGGGCGUAAAGAGCGCGCAGGCGGUCGUUCAAGUCGCGUGUGAAAGCCCCCGGCUCAACUGGGGAGGGUCACGCGAUACUGAUCGACUCGAAGGCAGGAGAGGGUAGUGGAAUUCCCGGUGUAGUGGUGAAAUGCGUAGAUAUCGGGAAGAACACCCGUGGCGAAGGCGGUUCUCUGGGACGGUACUGACGCUGAGGCGCGAAAGCGUGGGGAGCAAACAGG
rnacentral:rRNA from 1 species